rnacentral:rRNA from 1 species
AUUGAACGCUGGCGGCAGGCCUAACACAUGCAAGUCGAGCGGAGCGGCGGACGGGUGAGUAAUGCCUAGGAAUAUUAAUGGGAGUGGGGGAUCACGUACGGAAACGGGAGCUGAUACUGCAAACAAUCAACUUAGCAUAUGUCGGAAUGGCUAGUUGGUGGGGUAAAGGCCUACCAAGGCGACGAUCCGUAACUGGUCUGAGAGGAUGAUCAGGCACACUGGGACUGAGACACGGUCCAGACUCCUACGGGAGGCAGCAGUGGGGAAUAUUGGACAAGGGGCGAAAGCCUGAUGCAGCCAUGCCGCGUGAGUGAAGAAGGUCUUCGGAUUGUAAAGCACUUUAAGUUGGGAGGCGUUACCAACAGAAUAAGCACCGGCUAACUUCGUGCCAGCAGCCGCGGUAAUUC